AGUUACACUAUUUGAAAUACUUCAUUUUUAAUCAUUCAAUUAUGAUAGCCCUUAUGCAAUAUAAUCUUCAAACGGUUCCAUGGUUCCCAUUUCUUAUCAGCAGAUAACAGACAAAUCCCUAUCUUACCCUUUCCCGACACUCCAGAAGCAAGAAACAAAAACAGAUAACAACUCAUUAAACGAAACUCUAUUAAAGUCGUCGAUAUAAGAGAAAGAAAGUAAGGACAAUUAGUGAAAUGUGAAUGAGCAGUUUGAUAAAACAGACAGGCCGAUAAGUGAGCUAACAAUGGCGGGACGCAGGUGAAAUAAGGGGUAAGGGGUUUCGAUUAGCCGGAUCCAGGUCCGGGAUAAGUUGGAAAAGAGGAUGCGCGUCGAAAGGUCGAAAGUGGCGAGGGUGUAGAGUCACGGGGUGCCUGUGUUGGGGUGCCUGUGUGGUGGGGGGAAGAAAGGGAUGGUACCUGCGCCAGAUCCUUGGCUUGAAAGGGGCGGUCGGGUAUCGCGUUAACGCGCGGCCGGCAGUUUCUCGCGAGCCGCGAGCCGUGUCGUACUGUGUAGAUGCGCGCGCAGCUUCGCCUCACUUCACUCCCUUUGCACCUGUCGCGUUCAACUUCGCGCCUCAGCGACGCGACACGGCUGGCUUUCGCGUGGGCUCUUUCUCGACCACCGUUAACCUCAUCGUACCGCGAGUCAAGUAUACUGCCCGUCAUACUAAAUUCUACAACAGGAGUGAUAGUUGCAUCUACACGUCGCGUGUUACCGCGUGACGCAUCAUGAGACACGAUUUUCAUGCGAAUGUUGUCGCAGUGUGUCGUCGACCAGAGAACGUUUGUAUCGGUGCAAUCGUUUGAGCGGUAACAUUCGAAACAGAGAUCAGUGCGCGGAUCAUCGAUGCAGCGAUUGAAGUUCGAUUGCUCGUGCCGAAUCGAUGAAGGCCAUUCGAGAAUCGAAUUGUCACGAGAGCACUUGACUGUUUGAAAUUCGGGUGGUGAUCAUCGAACUAAUUGUCGGUGAGCAUGGCAUCCAUCAUCGUCGUUUUUGUCGAACUAAUUGCCGGUGAGCGUAGCAUCCAUCAUCGUCGUUUUUGGUCUUGAUAAGUGGCUUAACUUGCUCGUGACUUCCGUACUCUCGCGAGUCGAGUCGCGUCGAAUCGAAUCGAGAGUCGAUUGUGUUUCGAGUUGAAUCGCGACGCUGUCAUGCUUUAUUCGUAAGAAGUAUCGCGUUCGGACAAUCGCUAAUCGGUUUUGUCUCUCGCGAAUGAUGAAGAGAGAGGAGAAGAGAAAG